CCAGAAACAAGCUGGAGAGUGGAUGCCUGAGCUGGGAGGCUGCACCAUCCCUUCCUCAUGAUGCUGGUGGGUGGAUUGGCGGAGUUUGGGCACACUCCACAGCGCGAAUUUGGAGAACUCCCGGAGCCGGGUUAGCCAAGUUCCCUGAAAACACCUAAGCUGGUCCCAUUAUUUGGUCAGGCAAACUGAGGUCCAGAGAAGAGCCGCAACACAGAGGUUGACAGUAACAGGGAAGACCUUGGGACUGUAGGCCUCAAGAGGAAACAAAGGAUGUAACAGUCAUCAGCGAUUGAAGCCGUGCAGCCACCACCGAAGGUGAGCUGGUGAGCCCUAAGGGAAUUUAGGAAGGAAACAAAGAAUACCUGCC